rnacentral:rRNA from 1 species
ACUCCUACGGGAGGCAGCAGUGGGGAAUAUUGCACAAUGGGCGCAAGCCUGAUGCAGCCAUGCCGCGUGUGUGAAGAAGGCCUUCGGGUUGUAAAGCACUUUCAGCAGUGAGGAAGGCGGAGUCGUUAAUAGCGGCCUCGUUUGACGUUAGCUGCAGAAGAAGCACCGGCUAACUCCGUGCCAGCAGCCGCGGUAAUACGGAGGGUGCGAGCGUUAAUCGGAAUUACUGGGCGUAAAGCGCAUGCAGGUGGUUUGUUAAGUCAGAUGUGAAAGCCCGGGGCUCAACCUCGGAAUAGCAUUUGAAACUGGCAGACUAGAGUACUGUAGAGGGGGGUAGAAUUUCAGGUGUAGCGGUGAAAUGCGUAGAGAUCUGAAGGAAUACCGGUGGCGAAGGCGGCCCCCUGGACAGAUACUGACACUCAGAUGCGAAAGCGUGGGGAGCAAACAGGAUUAGAUACCCGU